GAUGAACGCUGGCGGCGUGCCUAAUACAUGCAAGUCGAGCGAACGGACGAGAAGCUUUCUUCUCUGAUGUUAUCGGCGGACGGGUGAUUAACACGUGUUUAACCUACCUAUAAGACUGGGAUAACUUCGGGAAACCGUAUCUAAUACCGGAUGAUAUUUUGAACCUCAUGGUUCAAGAGUUAAAUUCGGUCUUGCUGUCACUAAUAGCUGAAUCCGCGCUGCAUUAGCUAGUUGGUAAGGUAACGGCUUACCAACGCAACGAUGCAUACCCGACCUGAGAGGGAGAUCGGCCACACUGGAACUGAGAAUCGGUCGCGACUCCUACGGGGGGCAGCAGUAGGGAAUCUUACGCGAUGGGGGAAAGCGUGACAGAGCAACGCCGCGGGAGGGAUGAAGGUCUUCGGAUCGUAGAACUAUGUUAUCAGGGAAGAACAAAAGUGUAAGUAACUGUGAACAUAUUGACGGUACCUAAUCAGAAAGCCCCGGCUAACUACGUG
rnacentral:rRNA from 1 species